rnacentral:tRNA from 1 species
AGAGAUGUAGCUCAGUGGUAGAGCACUUGCUUAGCAUGUAUGAGAUCCUGGGUUCAAUCCCAGUACCUCGU